rnacentral:rRNA from 1 species
AUACGUAGGGGGCGAGCGUCGUCCGGAAUGAUUGGGCGUAAAGGGCGCGUAGGCGGCGCGGUAAGUCUGGAGUGAAAGUCCUGCUUUCAAGGUGGGAAUUGCUUUGGAUACUGCCGCGCUUGAGUGCAGGAGAGGUUAUCGGAAUUCCCGGUGUAGCGGUGAAAUGCGUAGAGAUCGGGAGGAACACCAGUGGCGAAGGCGGGUAACUGGACUGCAACUGACGCUGAGGCGCGAAAGUGUGGGGAGCAAACAGGAUUAGAUACCCUGGUAGUCCACACUGUAAACGAUGAAUGCUAGGUGUAGGGGGUAUCGACCCCUUCUGUGCCGCAGUCAACACAAUAAGCAUUCCGCCUGGGGAGUACGGCCGCAAGGUUGAAACUCAAAUGAAUUGACGGGG